AUAUAUAUAUCUGCAGA
rnacentral:sRNA from 1 species